rnacentral:rRNA from 1 species
AUAGAGAUAUUAAGCAAAACUCAUAAAAGUAGUCUCAGUUCGGAUUGAAGGCUGAAAUUCGCCUACAUGAAGCUGGAAUUGCUAGUAAUGGCAGGUCAGCAUACUGCCGUGAAUACGUUCCCGGGCCUUGUACACACCGCCCGUCACACCAUGAGAGUUGGGGAUACCCGAAGCCUGUGAGCCAACUGUAAAGAGGCAGCAGUCGAAGGUAGAAUCAAUGAUUGGGGUGAAGUCGUAACAAGGUAUC